rnacentral:antisense_RNA from 1 species
GUAGGAGCAAGGCUUGCCCGCGAUGGCGUCGUGUCAGUCGAUGGCGAUUUUGGCUGACACGACGCCAUCGCGGGCAAGCCUUGCUCCUAC